AAGGCCUUAUCUUAAUUAAAGUAUUUGAGUUGCAUUUAAAUGAUGUGGGAUAAAGACCCGCAGGUCUUA
rnacentral:tRNA from 1 species